GGAGGAGUGACCCGAACCUGGUAAGGGAGAGGAUUGCUAAUCCUUCGAGCCCUAAAAAGGCUCUUGUGGGUUCAAAUCCCACCUCCUCCG
rnacentral:tRNA from 1 species